CAACGUACGCAUGCGUCAGACCCAUGUGUAUCACAACUUACAAGCAGGUCCGGUUUAGAUAUCUAGUGUGUUGAAAACGAAUUCCGACGUUCUCACAGAAGGUUAUCAGGCGCUUCGAUCAUUUUUAUUAAAUAAGCAAUCUGAUGUGCAUGAAUUUCUCUCUGGAGACAGGUUUCAAAGUUGAAUGUGAGCCUGAUCUUCAUCUGCGUUGCCCGACCGCCGAGACUUUGGAUUCCUGAUCUUCACGCCACGCAUGGAUCGACUGGAACUGCUCUGUACUGGACUGAUAAAGUCGCAGAAACCAAAACAAACAAACUGAUCGAGUGAAAAAAAAGUGCCCUGAUGAGUGGAUUCACCACGGCUGCACGUGACCAGUUGGAAGUCCUCACUGCCCUGAGUCUUCCGCCACCACAAAGAGGACAAGAGGCCAUUGGGGCUCUGUCACUGUGGCGAUGGAGCCAGCCUCAUACAGCACCACCAAGAUACCCCCCAACCUCUCCAUAAGGACCAGUCAGCCUCAGCCGUCUGUGAGGAGCGCAGCAUACUGAUGUACCAGCUGAAUUCCAAGAGUGACCUGAACAGUGUCUCAUUACUGUUUCAUGCCAAGGCUUCAUAAAAGACUUGUGUUGACUGAGUGUAACUCGGUUGCACCAUGGCACAGUACCUCAGUACACUGUGAAUGUACAGAGGAGACACUCUGGCUGCUCCUACAGGACAGAUGAACUCACACUGUACAGUGGGGUGUGAUGUACAGAGGAGACACUCUGGCCCUAGAUGUGCCCUAGAAAUGGAACUGGUGAAUGAGUGCUUACAUUUGGACGUCGAGAGCUGUCGUGAUUGGUUGGGACGGUUAAACAUCCUGUGUAAUGUGAUUGGCUUCUUUGGAAAUGCCAUGUGAUGAUUGAUGGGAAAUUGAGGGUUCUGGAACACACACUUUUGAUUGGGCCUACACACUCAUUAACUUUUUAUUCAUAGUCAUGCAUUCAGUCUUUCAAUCAGUUAUUCAUGUAGCCAUUUUAAAUUCAGCCGCACCCUUAUCAAAGAAGCGCAGGCAGCAUUUCCACUCCAUAACCAGCCAUUCGAAAACCAGGACUGAAGUACACACGGGCACACAAACAUCCCACUGGUUUACCUCAGUUUUGUGUAUGAAGUUACACCCCAUACGUAAAUUGUACCAAAGAACAGUAAACGUAUAUCUAAAUUUAAGUACCUUGGUGUGAUUGUCAGUACGCCCAUCUUUGUGUAAAGGGAGUGGGAAGGAGUGCAUGGGUGGAAUUAGAGCAUGAUAUUACAGGUGACCGAUUUGGCUCCCUCCCUGUAUCUAAGGUGUUCGACUAGCACUGCCUCAAUAAAAUAGAUAAAAUAAGUGAUUGAAAUGAAUCCCUGGUCUGAGUAGUCUUCUUUAGGCUCAACUUUGGAAUGACCUUUGUCCACUCCUAUCACACCCAGUGCCUAAUGACUAUUUGUAUGCAUUUUAUAUUGUUGUGUGUCACUUUGAAAUAAACAUGUUUGGACUAUG